GUUUGUAAAGAGAGAGAGGAGAGAGGAAAAAAAAAAAUCUCUUCCAAAAAAGCACCGGUCUGCAGAUGUCUGCGAGAGAACCCACGAACCCUCCUUCUUCUACGGCAGGGCAGUUCCUUCCUAGAUGGGCCCAUGAAACCUAUGGUACUGGAGAUGAAGUGAUGCCUCUGAGUUAUUCGGCAUAUGUCUGGAAAAGCACACCCACUAAGCCAGCUGUGGCAGGUCUGCCCAUGCUGUGGACUGCUGAAUGUUGGAGCCAGUCGCUGAUCCGCCAGUGACAACAAAGAGCUCAGUGCUGCGUGGGUUGAAAGCAGCAUGAAACAGAAAAAAACGAAGCCAAACCCUCACUGCAUUCACUUCUGUGGCCUUAUAUGAGUCUGCCAUAAUACCUUCUUACCCUGCAUCUCAUUUUGCUAUCAAGGAAUCUCCUGAAACAUAAAUUCUUUGCUUGUCCCCGUGAUAUAAGAUUUGACUUUAUUUAGAAUGUUUGACUCUAUUUGCAAAGGCAGGAUAAAAAAGCAUUUUAUUUGUGCCAUGAAAUGAGAGAGUGGAGCAAGCUUCUGCAAGCAGGGUGCUUUGUUGAGUCAAAUUUAUACUCUCAUGUUGAGUGUGGAGCUUAUACCAUUCUUCACAGGAAAAGGUAUGCUUUACGCUAAUGCACAGUAAUCUCUGUACAAUCCCAACUCACUUUCUCCACUUUCAGCCACACCCUAGAGGGAAAUUUCUCUGAGAAAUUAACAUGGGAAUCGGCUCUUAACUGCAUUUUCAAAUAUAUUUAUCAGUUAAUUUUUUUUUCUACUGGUAUGACAAAGAAAUUAUACUAAUAAUAGUAAUAGAUCUGUGAUAACAGAUAAAACCCAGACACUGACAACUCCUACAUAUGGACCGUUUACUUUCCUAGUGUAUUUUGAACAUGAAUUAAGUUAAAUGACUGUUAUUUUCAAAACACAUUUUAAAUUGGAAAAAUGAUGAGUGGGAAAAAAA